UCCCUGGUGGCCUAGUGGUUAGGAUACAGCACUUUCACUGCUGCGGUCCAGGUUCAGUCUCUGGUCUGGGUG
rnacentral:tRNA from 1 species